GAGGAAUAUUGGUCAAUGGGCGAGAGCCUGAACCAGCCAAAUCGCGUGAAGGAAGACUGCCUUAUGGGUUGUAAACUUCUUUUAUACAGGAAUAAAAAAGGGGACGUGUCCCUUAUUGCAUGUACUGUAUGAAUAAGCAUCGGCUAACUCCGUGCCAGCAGCCGCGGUAAUACGGAGGAUGCGAGCGUUAUCCGGAUUUAUUGGGUUUAAAGGGUGCGCAGGCGGGCUUUUAAGUCAGCGGUGAAAUCUCGGGGCUUAACUCCGAAACUGCCGUUGAAACUGGGAGUCUUGAGUAUGGAUGAAGUAGGCGGAAUUCGUUGUGUAGCGGUGACAUGCUUAGAUAUAACGAGGAACUCCGAUUGCGUAGGCAGCUUACUAAGCCAUAACUGACGCUCAAGCACGAAAGCGUGGGGAUCAAACA
rnacentral:rRNA from 1 species